rnacentral:lncRNA from 1 species
AUGCCCUUUUAUCCAGUAUCCCAACGUGGGAGCAGCAUUUUGCAAGUUGCUCUAGCUAGAUCAACGGGGACAGGUAUCAGUGAAUGAGACAGACAGGAUUUGAGUCCGUCUAGCCUACUGCCGCGUGCUUGGAGGGAGGCACGAUCUCUUUUCUCUAUGCAUCGUUUCUUAGGUUUUAUGUUGGUGUUGGAUGAGUUUGUUAAAAAUGUGAUUUUGGAAGUCCAGGAGUCCUAACUACAUCCCCCUUUUGGUCAAAAGCCUCCUUUGUCAACGUGGCUCUAACUAAUUUAGCUCAGCACGGUUAAGAGGCAAGAACUAGCUGCCCUUUACUUUGUAGGGAAGCAGAAACUGGUGCACAUUGUCAACUUUG